rnacentral:rRNA from 1 species
AUACGAAGGGGGCUAGCGUUGUUCGGAAUUACUGGGCGUAAAGCGCAUGUAGGCGGACAUUUAAGUCAGGGGUGAAAUCCCGGGGCUCAACCCCGGGACUGCUUUGGAAACUGUGGAACUAGAGUGCAGGAGAGGUAAGUGGAAUUCCUAGUGUAGCGGUGAAAUUCGUAGAUAUUCGGAGGAACACCAGUGGCGAAGGCGGCUUACUGGUCCAUUACUGACGCUGAGGUGCGAAAGCGUGGGGAGC